GUUGACCUCGGAUCAGGUAGGGAUACC
rnacentral:ncRNA from 13 species